AGCGUACACGGUGGAUGCCCUGGCAGUCAGAGGCGAUGAAGGACGUGCUAAUCUGCGAUAAGCGUCGGUAAGGUGAUAUGAACCGUUAUAACCGGCGAUUUCCGAAUGGGGAAACCCAGUGUGUUUCGACACACUAUCAUUAACUGAAUCCAUAGGUUAAUGAGGCGAACCGGGGGAACUGAAACAUCUAAGUACCCCGAGGAAAAGAAAUCAACCGAGAUUCCCCCAGUAGCGGCGAGCGAACGGGGAGCAGCCCAGAGCCUGAAUCAGUGUGUGUGUUAGUGGAAGCGUCUGGAAAGGCGCGCGAUACAGGGUGACAGCCCCGUACACAAAAAUGCACAUGCUGUGAGCUCGAUGAGUAGGGCGGGACACGUGGUAUCCUGUCUGAAUAUGGGGGGACCAUCCUCCAAGGCUAAAUACUCCUGACUGACCGAUAGUGAACCAGUACCGUGAGGGAAAGGCGAAAAGAACCCCGGCGAGGGGAGUGAAAAAGAACCUGAAACCGUGUACGUACAAGCAGUGGGAGCACGCUUAGGCGUGUGACUGCGUACCUUUUGUAUAAUGGGUCAGCGACUUAUAUUCUGUAGCAAGGUUAACCGAAUAGGGGAGCCGAAGGGAAACCGAGUCUUAACUGGGCGUUAAGUUGCAGGGUAUAGACCCGAAACCCGGUGAUCUAGCCAUGGGCAGGUUGAAGGUUGGGUAACACUAACUGGAGGACCGAACCGACUAAUGUUGAAAAAUUAGCGGAUGACUUGUGGCUGGGGGUGAAAGGCCAAUCAAACCGGGAGAUAGCUGGUUCUCCCCGAAAGCUAUUUAGGUAGCGCCUCGUGAAUUCAUCUCCGGGGGUAGAGCACUGUUUCGGCAAGGGGGUCAUCCCGACUUACCAACCCGAUGCAAACUGCGAAUACCGGAGAAUGUUAUCACGGGAGACACACGGCGGGUGCUAACGUCCGUCGUGAAGAGGGAAACAACCCAGACCGCCAGCUAAGGUCCCAAAGUCAUGGUUAAGUGGGAAACGAUGUGGGAAGGCCCAGACAGCCAGGAUGUUGGCUUAGAAGCAGCCAUCAUUUAAAGAAAGCGUAAUAGCUCACUGGUCGAGUCGGCCUGCGCGGAAGAUGUAACGGGGCUAAACCAUGCACCGAAGCUGCGGCAGCGACGCUGAUGCGUUGUUGGGUAGGGGAGCGUUCUGUAAGCCUGCGAAGGUGUGCUGUGAGGCAUGCUGGAGGUAUCAGAAGUGCGAAUGCUGACAUAAGUAACGAUAAAGCGGGUGAAAAGCCCGCUCGCCGGAAGACCAAGGGUUCCUGUCCAACGUUAAUCGGGGCAGGGUGAGUCGACCCCUAAGGCGAGGCCGAAAGGCGUAGUCGAUGGGAAACAGGUUAAUAUUCCUGUACUUGGUGUUACUGCGAAGGGGGGACGGAGAAGGCUAUGUUGGCCGGGCGACGGUUGUCCCGGUUUAAGCGUGUAGGCUGGUUUUCCAGGCAAAUCCGGAAAAUCAAGGCUGAGGCGUGAUGACGAGGCACUACGGUGCUGAAGCAACAAAUGCCCUGCUUCCAGGAAAAGCCUCUAAGCAUCAGGUAACAUCAAAUCGUACCCCAAACCGACACAGGUGGUCAGGUAGAGAAUACCAAGGCGCUUGAGAGAACUCGGGUGAAGGAACUAGGCAAAAUGGUGCCGUAACUUCGGGAGAAGGCACGCUGAUAUGUAGGUGAGGUCCCUCGCGGAUGGAGCUGAAAUCAGUCGAAGAUACCAGCUGGCUGCAACUGUUUAUUAAAAACACAGCACUGUGCAAACACGAAAGUGGACGUAUACGGUGUGACGCCUGCCCGGUGCCGGAAGGUUAAUUGAUGGGGUCAGCGCAAGCGAAGCUCUUGAUCGAAGCCCCGGUAAACGGCGGCCGUAACUAUAACGGUCCUAAGGUAGCGAAAUUCCUUGUCGGGUAAGUUCCGACCUGCACGAAUGGCGUAAUGAUGGCCAGGCUGUCUCCACCCGAGACUCAGUGAAAUUGAACUCGCUGUGAAGAUGCAGUGUACCCGCGGCAAGACGGAAAGACCCCGUGAACCUUUACUAUAGCUUGACACUGAACAUUGAGCCUUGAUGUGUAGGAUAGGUGGGAGGCUUAGAAGUGUGGACGCCAGUCUGCAUGGAGCCGACCUUGAAAUACCACCCUUUAAUGUUUGAUGUUCUAACGUUGACCCGUAAUCCGGGUUGCGGACAGUGUCUGGUGGGUAGUUUGACUGGGGCGGUCUCCUCCUAAAGAGUAACGGAGGAGCACGAAGGUUGGCUAAUCCUGGUCGGACAUCAGGAGGUUAGUGCAAUGGCAUAAGCCAGCUUGACUGCGAGCGUGACGGCGCGAGCAGGUGCGAAAGCAGGUCAUAGUGAUCCGGUGGUUCUGAAUGGAAGGGCCAUCGCUCAACGGAUAAAAGGUACUCCGGGGAUAACAGGCUGAUACCGCCCAAGAGUUCAUAUCGACGGCGGUGUUUGGCACCUCGAUGUCGGCUCAUCACAUCCUGGGGCUGAAGUAGGUCCCAAGGGUAUGGCUGUUCGCCAUUUAAAGUGGUACGCGAGCUGGGUUUAGAACGUCGUGAGACAGUUCGGUCCCUAUCUGCCGUGGGCGCUGGAGAACUGAGGGGGGCUGCUCCUAGUACGAGAGGACCGGAGUGGACGCAUCACUGGUGUUCGGGUUGUCAUGCCAAUGGCACUGCCCGGUAGCUAAAUGCGGAAGAGAUAAGUGCUGAAAGCAUCUAAGCACGAAACUUGCCCCGAGAUGAGUUCU
rnacentral:rRNA from 1 species